rnacentral:lncRNA from 1 species
CUGGAGCACUUACAGAGGUGCGGAGUUAAAUGAAAGUUCUGAAGGCAGAAGACGUGGGAGGAGUGCACUGAGGCAGGAUGGACAGAACAGUACCAUAGCCCGUGGGUUAGAAGCUCAAGCUUUAGAUAACAGUUUGUUCUUCAUUGGAAAUUCUAAAUGUAAAGUCUGGUAAGCCAACUGGUAGCAGGGCUGCAGAACAGCUGGGCCCUGGGAUUUGGACACGUCUGGCCCUAUCAGGUGCCACCGGCAGCACAGGGACAUCAGCCCCAAUACUGACCACGGGUUCCUUAAGAUCUGCUGCAAAUGAGGGAGAAAAGGAAAGAUGCAAACAACCACGGAAUAUGGAAUUUACAUGCCAACAUAAAAGCCUCGCACUCCCAAGCCUCUCCUGUGCUUCCCAGUAGCCAAAAAGAAAAAGGAAGAGUGCAAACAGUUAAAGACCUGGUGCUUCAUAACACGCCGGGGGGACAGUUCCUACUCUUACCUAUUUGAACCACAGCUGUCUAAACUCACUGCUCGUCCACUUGGUGUGUUCACAUGGAAGCAACUGACAGUGCCCACCGGGAGGACGUGAGCCCAUCUCCGUGCCGGUUGGUUACACUACGUCCCGGGGCUACCGAGUAUCACCCUGUGCAGCGACAGUUUCACCCAUUAGUAUGGAGCCAGCUAUACACACUGCAUAUGUACA